rnacentral:rRNA from 2 species
UUAAACAAGUAAAGCAAGCUGUGAAUAUCCCGGUUAUUGGAAAUGGUGAUGUUGAAACACCGCAAGAUGCGAAGCGUAUGCUUGAUGAAAUUGGUGUAGAUGGUGUUAUGAUUGGCCGUGCUGCUCUUGGGGAUCCGUGGAUGAUUUAUCGUACGGUAAAGUAUUUAGAGACGGGUGAAUUAAUGCCGGAACCAACAGUGCGCGAGAAAAUUGAUGUAUGUAUGUUGCAUCUAGAUCGUCUUAUCGAUUUAAAGAAUGAAAAUGUUGCUGUAAGAGAGAUGAGAAAGCAUGCGGCUUGGUAUUUAAAAGGUGUUCGUGGUAAUGCGAGUGUGCGUAAUGGCAUCAAUACUUGCAACACACGUCAAGACCUUGCGAAUGUAUUAGGUGCAUUUGUAGAAGAAGUAGAAGCGAAACAACAAACAAUUUAUGUUGGUUAAUAAGGGAAUGUAGAAGAUUGACAUUCUUCUACACACUUCCUAUAAUUACGUGAAAGAAAGAAGAACUGCCAGUUAGUUGCUGGCAGUUUUUCUAGUUGAGUAGAAAAUGCUAUACUGUAUAUAUUGUAAAAAUUAAUAGAGCUGGAGUGAUAUCAAUAUCAUGGAUAACAUGAACCACGAAGAAUUAAACGACCAAUUGCUUGUUCGUCGUGAAAAGCUACAUAAUUUACGUGAGCAAGGAAUCGAUCCGUUUGGUAAACGAUUUGAACGCACAAAUUCAACAACGGACUUAGUAAGUCUAUAUGGAGAAUUCUCUAAAGAAGAAUUAGAAGAGAAAGAAAUCACUGUUUCUAUCGCUGGUCGUAUUAUGACAAAACGCGGUAAAGGAAAAGCUGGAUUCGCGCACAUUCAAGAUUUACACGGACAAGUUCAAAUUUACGUUCGUAAAGAUACUGUUGGAGAUGAAGAGUACGAAUUAUUUACGACAGCAGAUUUAGGUGACUUAGUAGGUAUUGAAGGUAAAGUGUUCAAAACGAACGUUGGAGAACUUUCAGUAAAAGCAACAGGAUUUACACUUUUAACGAAAUCCCUUCGUCCAUUACCGGAUAAAUACCAUGGAUUAAAAGAUGUUGAACAACGUUACCGUCAACGUUACUUAGACUUAAUUACAAGUAUGGAAAGUCGUGAAACAUUUGUUACUCGUAGUAAAAUCAUUCGUGAGAUGAGAAGAUAUUUAGAUGACAACGGUUAUCUUGAAGUAGAAACGCCUAUGAUGCACGCGAUUGCAGGUGGAGCAUCUGCUCGUCCUUUCACAACGCACCAUAAUGCGUUAGAUAUGGAAUUAUAUAUGCGUAUCGCAAUUGAACUUCAUUUAAAACGUCUUAUUGUGGGUGGAUUAGAAAAAGUUUAUGAGAUCGGCCGUGUAUUCCGUAAUGAGGGUGUAUCAACUCGUCAUAACCCUGAGUUUACGAUGAUUGAAUUAUAUGAAGCAUAUGCUGAUUAUAAUGAUAUUAUGAAACUAACAGAAAAUAUGGUUGCUCAUAUUGCGAAAAAAGUAUUGGGUACAACAACAAUCCAAUAUGGUGAUUAUGAAAUUAAUCUAGAACCAGAAUGGACACGUCUUCAUAUGGUAGAUGCAAUUAAGCAACACUCUGGAGCAGAUUUCUGGAAUCCAAUGAGUGUAGAAGAAGCGCGUGAACUUGCAAAAGAACAUAAUGUAGAAAUUAAGGAUACAAUGGAAGUUGGUCAUAUUAUUAAUGAGUUCUUCGAACAAAAAGUAGAAGAUAAAUUAAUCCAACCGACAUUUAUUUAUGGUCAUCCGGUAGAAAUUUCGCCACUUGCGAAAAAGAAUGACGAAGAUCCACGAUUCACAGAUCGUUUCGAGUUAUUUAUCGUUGCACGUGAACAUGCGAAUGCAUUCACUGAGUUAAAUGAUCCAAUCGAUCAAAAAGAACGUUUUGAAGCUCAAUUAAAAGAGCGCGAGCAAGGUAAUGAUGAAGCUCACAUGAUGGAUGAUGAUUAUAUCGAAGCUCUUGAGUACGGUAUGCCUCCUACGGGCGGAUUAGGAAUCGGUAUUGAUCGUUUAGUUAUGUUAUUAACAAAUGCACCAUCUAUUCGCGAUGUACUAUUAUUCCCUGCUAUGCGUCAUAAGCAAGACUAAGCUUUGGAGAUUUCUCCAAAGCUUUUUUUAUUUUACUAUGAGUGAUUUGAAGGAAGUGGGUUUUGAUAGGGAUCGUUUAGAAAUUAUAUUUAUAUAGAAGAAACAUGCUAUUUUUAUGCUUUUUUACUAAGUUAAAAAUUUUAUUAGAAAAACUAUUGCAUUUUAAUAAGCGAACUGGUAUAUUUAUAUUCGUUGCCAUGAGAGGUAACAAAAGAAACAAACGAAAAACAACUUAUUUAAAAAAAGUUGUUGACGAAAAUAUGACAAAAUGUUAUAUUGAUAAAGUCGCUUCUGAGCGACGAAGUAGUUCUUUGAAAACUGAACGAAACAAACAACGUGAAACGUCAAUUUUUAUUUUUAGAUGCUAGACAAACUAACUUUAUUGGAGAGUUUGAU